UACGUUGGGUGCAAGCGUUGUUCGGAUUCAUUGGGCGUAAAGGGUGCGUAGGCGGUCGGGUAAGUCGGAUGUGAAAUCUCAGGGCUCAACCCUGAAACUGCAUUCGAUACUGCCUGGCUAGGGUACUGGAGAGGAGACUGGAAUUUACGGUGUAGCAGUGAAAUGCGUAGAUAUCGUAAGGAAGACCAGUGGCGAAGGCGAGUCUCUGGACAGUUACCGACGCUGAGGCACGAAGGUCAGGGGAGCAAACGGG
rnacentral:rRNA from 1 species